rnacentral:rRNA from 1 species
CACGUAGGGGGCAAGCGUUGUCCGGAUUCAUUGGGCGUAAAGAGCUUGUAGGCGGUUUGUCGCGUCUGCUGUGAAAUUUCGGGGCUCAACCCCGAACUUGCAGUGGGUACGGGCAGACUAGAGUGUGGUAGGGGAGACUGGAAUUCCUGGUGUAGCGGUGAAAUGCGCAGAUAUCAGGAGGAACACCGAUGGCGAAGGCAGGUCUCUGGGCCAUAACUGACGCUGAGAAGCGAAAGCAUGGGGAGCGAACAGG